CCGGGAGGCGGCGGCGGCGGCGUUCCUUGGUGACGGUUGCCCGGGGAACCCCGCCCUUGGUGACGGUUGCCCGGGGAACCCCGCCGUUGUGAGCUGGGCCUUGGCUGCGGAGAAGUGGUCCCAUCCCCCGGGGGUGUCGCCGUCUGGCAGGUUUCUCUAAAAUCCCUGAAUUUGCCUGAAGUCUUGGAUGCACGACAUUUCUUCUCAGACUGCAGUGGCUACUUCUCAAUCCUUGUACUGCUAGGACUACAGAGCUGCAGGCCAGUCAAAUUGGUCUUUCUCCUAGAUGAGGGGGAAAUCCCACUCUGUAGCAAUUAAGAUUUCUCUCAGUGUAAUAUCACAGUGGAACAGCCAUGAUUUGGAUGAGUAGGUUAACAACGGACUUUUCAGUCUGGAGGCAAGGUGGACAUAUGCCAAGUAUGAAACAAUCAAGCACCUUCUCCUUUUAUUCUGUUAAAGGAUUAUCUCCUUGCACAUAAUUGUGAAAUCCUGGUUUCCCACUGGAAUACUAUACCAUGUGGAUAGAAGACAACAAUAAGGCUACUUGUUAUUGUACAAACUAGAUUAUUAAAGACAAAAUAGUAGUAUUGUAAGAAUGAUACAGGUAGUUCUAUAUUUAUUAAAUGCUAUUUGGUUGUAACGUGAUUUGUGAAUUGUAGACUUUUUAAAAGAAAGUUAAUUUUAUGCAAUUAUGCUGUUAUGCAAUUUCAUCCCCGGCACUAGCUGAACAGCAAAACCCAGCCUCAGGAUCCCCCGUCUGCACAAUGCACAGUGUGUUCAGCUAAAACAGGAAUGCAAUCAGCUCUGCAAGCCUUGAAAUGUAGCUUAAAACUGGGAAUUGCAGUCUGCAUUUAGAAGGAAUUUUAUUUCAAACUGGGAGAGAAUCUUCAGGAGGACUGGACUUCCACGUUGGCAUCAUAUGUUCAGUUGGGUUGUGCGGUGAGCUUUCUGCUGAUGAGCUUUGUGAAAGGCCUCUAGGAAUUCCAGUGCGUGUCUCUAUUUUGCCUGUCCUAGCCAAAGAAACACUGACCUCACUACUAGACGAACCAAGGACACAAACACCAAACAGCACCAACUCCAUCAGCAAGGACAGCAUCCUCAAACUAGUAGACCUGUGCCUCACCACCCACUUCACUUUCAUUGACAAGACUUACAAACAAGUCAACAAGACACCCAUAGGAUCACCAAUAUUAGGAUCUUUAGCAGAAGCCGUGAUGCAGAGUCUCAAAUAAACAGCCCUCCCCACAAUCCAUUAUGUGGAUGAGAUCUUUGUCAUCAUGAAAUGGAACAAAUUAGAGGAAACCUAUAAUAUCAUUAACAACAUCCUGACUGGUAUAAAUUUCACCAAAGAGGAAGAGAACAAUAACAGACUCCCCUUCCCAGAUGUCACAGU